UACGUAGGUGGCAAGCGUUAUCUGGAAUUAUUGGGCGUAAAGAGCGCGCAGGUGGUUGAUUAAGUCUGAUGUGAAAGCCCACGGCUUAACCGUGGAGGGUCAUUGGAAACUGGUCGACUUGAGUGCAGCAGAGGGAAGUGGAAUUCCAUGUGUAGCGGUGAAAUGCGUAGAGAUAUGGAGGAAUACCAGUGGCGAAGGCGGCUUCCUGGUCUGUAACUGACACUGAGGCGCGAAAGCGUGGGGAGCAAACAGGAUUA
rnacentral:rRNA from 1 species